rnacentral:misc_RNA from 1 species
GCUUAUUUGACUCUAAAAGUAAUUAUCAGGAGUUUAAAAAGUCAUUUUGUCAAUAUUUAAACUAGUUAAAAUUGAUAAUCAAAGUAAGUCACUUUGAAGCAAUAUGCUAAUUUUUUGGGCUUCUUUUUUCAUUUUGCGUUAAAUUUUUGGCAAAAGACCCUUUUAAGCCCCUGUUAAAUAGUUUAAUAGUCAUAUAACCCUUAGUUAAUCCAUUUGGUCCAUUUAAGCCCCUAUGAAUAUUAAAAAUAAAAAAAAGCAUAAAAAAGCCCCAACCUAACACUGUCAACUCUCCAUUAAAAUUUAUGUUUUAUAUAACAAAAUAAAGUUAAUACUUUCUUUUGCCAUAGUAGGAGAACUCCACUAUCCUACUACGACUA